ensembl:snRNA U4 U4 spliceosomal RNA
AGCUUUGUGCAGUGGCAGUAUCGUAGCCAAUGAGGUUUAUCCGAGGUGCGGUUAUUGCUAGCUGAAAGAAGUAGUUCUCACUGCUUCCAUCACCAAAGGUCUGUGUCCCCAUGCCUUCCCCUUAGAUCAUCAUUAUAAUUCUCCCACAGU